AUUCUUAUAUAUUUAGAUAUAAAUGAAACGAAAUGAUAUAAAUGUUUUGUCCCUGAUGGUAGAUAGUAUUGCAAUAAUCAUGAUAACAAACAUAGACAUCACAUGAACAAUAAUGAAAGGUAGUAUUUUAACUAUCUGACCUGGUUCCCUAAAAAAAGUAAUUUUCAAGGUAAAAUAUUCCUGAAAAAAAAUAUUUUCUAAGCAAACAGUAAGUUUGUUUGAAAUCUAUUGGUUUAAAUGUUUCAGGUGAUAUAAUUAACAACUAAGAGAAUUGUAAAGGUACAUAUUAAUUCUUUGAAUUGUUGCAAUACCUAGAAUUCCUAUGAAAAAUUACUUGUUUAAGGAUCUUCAGACAUACAGUAAAUGGAAUUAUCGCUAUUUUGUGCAUUUUUCCUUUGAUCUUUUUUUGUGAUAAUUUUCAUAUCAUGCUUCUCGCUUGAGAUGGAAAAAUUAUCGCUAGAAACUAAGGAGGCCACGUGGCGUUGCUAACGAAAUUGGCAUGAAAUUGACAACGUCGUCAUAGGUAAAAUAGCGAUAAACAGAUUAUCAUUGGUCAUCUCAACUCGAUUGCUUUUCUCACUUUCGCUGUUCCAGCUCAAGCGAGAAAAUCAAUCUCGUUGAGAUGAUCAACAAUAAUCUAUAAUUAUCUAACAAUUAUACACAAAACAAUUUCGCAUCUUUAUUAAAGUUCUAUAUCAAAAUGCAUAUGUCAGACUAAAAUAUUAAUACCAAAUGUCAGUUUAUUGAAUAGUUUUGAAAAGAAAAUAUCACAUCUUGAAGAAUUAAAAAAUAGAAAAAGUUGAAUAUCAUAUCAUGACAAACUGCUUUUCUGUGUUUGUGUAUAGAGAAGUAACACUAACUUUUCUACUUUUGUAUUGAGAAACAAUCUUAUAUGAUUCAGAAUCAGAAAAUACAUUUAAUGUCAGUGCAUUUGCUAUAACCAGAAUGUAAUAUUUCUUGGAUGGAUAUUAUUCUAAAUAUGAAUUAUCUCCCUUAGAUAACUUACAUCAAUGGUUAAUGUCAAAUAAAGAAGGAAAAAAAAUAAAAGAUCUUCAUUUAGAAGCAGAACAUUCAAUUAAUUAUUGGUGAAGACAAAAGAGUACCAGAUGAAAAUAAAUAAUGUUUUAUAAUGUUAGAUAUAUCACUAACAUUCAUGAACAUGAAAUAUACUAAAUACAAAUUUUGAUAUGUAAGAAUAUAUUUCAUGGCAAAUUUACAUACAAUUCAGCACUUUAUUGUUUAAAUAAAAUAAUGAUAUUUGUAUAUAUGUAAAUUUAUGUGUAUAAAUAUGAAGAAAAAAAAUUGAUAAAAUGUCUGAAUAUUUGAUUAAUAUUUGGAAUGUUGAUGACUUCUAAUGAAUCGAUUUAUUGUGUCAUAAUCUUUCAAUGAUAUAUAAAAGUAAAUCAAUGAAUCUUAGUAGGAAUGUCCCCAAUAAAGGUUUGUUGUAUUAUCCCUUAACCAAUAGUGUUCUCCCAAUGAAAUAAUUUGGACUUUGUGUGAAAUUAUACACCAUAUCCUCCUUUUAUAUCAGAUAAAUGCUAAUUUUAAUGGAUGGAGGUGAUACUUGCAAAGUGAUAAAAUUUAACACUUUUUGUUUAGUUUUCAAACUGUGCUUAGUAACAAUGCAAAAUUUAGUAAUAAUUAAAUUUUCAGUUUAAAGCCUGCAUAAAAGAAAUGCAAUUACCUUGUACUAGAGAUAAAAAUAUUGACCCUUUUCCAAAUCAAACUUUGUUUAUGUUAAAACAUUUUUGUAAAUUUUACAUGCAUCUUCUUAAUGGUUCGCAAGAAGGGAUAAGAGUGUAGAUUAUGUUUUGUCCUUCCUUAGGAAGUAACUGUUAAAAAUAUAUGUAAAAGGGCGUGCUGUGUAUGAAAUCAAAGACACUCAAAUCAUUAUUAUAUAUUUUUAUAUUAAAUUCCAAUAGUUUUCAAUUUUUUUUUCAAAAUUAUUGCGAAAAAAAAUUGUAUUUAAAUGAUUAGAAUUAAAUGUGGGGAUGUUAGUGCUGAUUUAAACAGACCUGUAAAGAUCAUGUCCGAUAGAAAGAAAAUCAGUCAUGGUUCUGUGGAACAAAUAAAACAAACUUUCUUAAACCUGAUAUAUAGUUAACUAAUUGAAAAACAUAUCAUUCUCAAUAACAAUGCAUUGUUUUAUGCUCCUUCCACAGAAACACAACUAAUUUAAAAGUUCUAAAAUCACACGUGUAAUUUGAUGAACUGAUUCCUGACUAGUUUUUUCAAUUCACUUUUAAUUUUCAUGAUAAAUAGAUGAAUGAAAAAAACAUACAAAAAUAAUAAAAAUGUAUGUACUUAUAACAUAAAUCAUAUGAUAACAAAAAUAUAUAUUUUUUGAAAAUAUCAAAAUAAACAAAUGUACAUAAAUAAAAUUUUCACAACCAAUAUAGAGUUAUCUCCCAUGCGAUAUGCAUGCACACAUUGCAUAUUAGAUCUAGGGUUAUUUCCCUUGUUACGUAGCCUAUCACAGAAGUUUUUGAGAUUCUGAAAAGUAUAAAGGCAACAAAAGCUAGUGUAAUAAAAGACAGUACAGUUUGUGUCUACAAAUAAUGGUGGACUACAUUUACUGGCCUUAAUAAAAAUUGUUUCAUACAUCACUUAAGUUUUUUUUAAUGAGUUUUAUAAUAUUGUAAAAUAGCACUUUUGAAGAUUUACUGUUUGUUAAGAUAAGUAAUUGUAACAUCAACAUUCUCACUAUAAUGGUAAAUGUCUACCAUUCAUACUGAAUAAAAACUUAAAUAUAUUUACUCUAAUCAAUCGACUGCAUUCUUUCAAAAAAUUCCACAAUUGAUGACUUUUUAAUUAUAGAAUAAUAUAC
rnacentral:lncRNA from 1 species